ensembl:lncRNA
CCCUGAAGUACUUUGUCUGCUACGAAGUGCUCACAGUGAAGCCAGAGGAAAGCCAGAAGAUGGUUACAGAAGGAAAGUAGUUUGCAAGCUGGUCUGCUACUGUUGGCGAGCCACUGGAGGAUACUUGGUGACCAACUUGUUUUGGUCAUCGAUAGAGAUCGUCCAGGAGGGUGCUUGUCUGGGAAUGACCUUCAUGACCUCACCACCGCUCCGCCCCGGAAAUAUCAACCGCCAACCAGAAGCUCUGUACUACGGCCUACAGGAUGUGGUUGACUGGUCCCAGUGAUGGACAGGUGACCAGCCAGCCCCCUAGCUGCCCUCUCCUGCCGUGACUCCCACCCCUCCGCCCCCACCCCCCC